rnacentral:rRNA from 1 species
CAGUAGCCGCGGGAAUACGAAGGGUGCAAGCGUUACUCGGAAUUACUGGGCGUAAAGCGUGCGUAGGUGGUGGUUUAAGUCCGUUGUGAAAGCCCUGGGCUCAACCUGGGAAUUGCAGUGGAUACUGGGUCACUAGAGUGUGGUAGAGGAUAGUGGAAUUUCCGGUGUAGCAGUGAAAUGCGUAGAGAUCGGAAGGAACAUCUGUGGCGAAGGCGACUAUCUGGGCCAACACUGACACUGAGGUGCGAAAGCGUGGGGAGCAAACAGGAUUAGAUACCCCCGUAGUCCCUGUCUCUUAUAC